rnacentral:rRNA from 1 species
AAGUCGUAACAAGGUUUCCGUAGGUGAACCUGCGGAAGGAUCAUUAUUGAAAUAAACCUGAUGGGUUGUUNNNGNUUCACGAAUUAGCACCCCCCCUUUUUGUCAUCUUUAUAUCCCCGCCUGUGUUCUUUUUGCAGACCUUUCAGGUCUAUGUUGCUUUAUUCACCCCAAUGUAUGUUAAUAGANUGGCGUGCCUAUAUAAUAUAUACAACUUUCAGCAACGUUUCUCUUGGCUCUCGCAUCGAUGAAGAACGCAGAGAAAUGCGAUAAGUAAUGUGAAUUGCAUAAUUCAGUGAAUCAUCGAAUCUUUGAACCCUCCUUGCCCUCCUUGUUAUUCCGAGGAGCAUGCCUGUUUGAGUGUCAUUAAUAUAUCAACCUUCUCUUUUUUGAGUUGUUUGGAUGGGGGGGUUUGCUGGCAUCUUAAAUGAUUCAGCUCCCCUGAAAUGCAUUAGAAGAACAACCUGUUCAUUGGCGUGAUAAUUAUCUAUGCUAUUGAAUGUGAGGGCAGUUCAGCUUUCUAACCGUCCUCGGACAAUUCAUCAUUAAUGUGACCUCAAAUCAGGUAGGACUACCCGCUGAACUUAAGCAUAUCAAUAAGCGGAGGAAAAGAAACUAACAAGGAUUCCCCUAGUAACUGCGAGUGAAGCGGGAAAAGCUCAAAUUUAAAAUCUGGCGGUCUUUUGGCUGUCCGAGUUGUAAUCUAGAGAAGUGUUAUCCGCGCUGGACCGUGUACAAGUCUCCUGGAAUGGAGCAUCAUAGAGGGUGAGAAUCCCGUCUUUGACAUGGACUGCCAGGGCUUUGUGAUGCGCUCUCAAAGAGUCGAGUUGUUUGGGAAUGCAGCUCAAAAUGGGUGGUAAAUUCCAUCUAAAGCUAAAUAUUGGCGAGAGACCGAUAGCGAACAAGUACCGUGAGGGAAAGAUGAAAAGAACUUUGGAAAGAGAGUUAAACAGUACGUGAAAUUGCUGAAAGGGAAACGCUUGAAGUCAGUCGCAUUAUCCAGGGAUCAACCUUGCUUUUGCUUGGUGCACUUUCUGGUUUGAUGGGUCAGCAUCAAUUUUGACCAUUGGAAAAAGGCUCUAGAGAAUGUGGCAUCUUCGGAUGUGUUAUAGCUCUUAGUCAUAUACAAUGAUUGGGAUUGAGGAACUCAGCACGCCGCAAGGCCGGGUUUUUAACCACGUACGUGCUUAGGAUGCUGGCAAAAUGGCUUUAAUCGACC